GACGACCGGCCGAACACUGCUGUGCUCGGCCCACAAGUGGAGGCUCCGAUCUCCCACCUGACCGUCCCCCCGGGGCGGCGGGUCACCGGUCAGGCGGCCGCCACCGUUCCGUACGGACGGUGGAGUCGCCCGAUGUGCGCCCCGCGGGUCACCGCGGCGGUGCUCCGGCAUUCUCGGAGUCCCGCCUGUGUCCUGUCCGGGGCAUUUUUC
rnacentral:ncRNA from 1 species